rnacentral:rRNA from 1 species
CAGCCCUUGACAUCCCGGUCGCGGUUUCCAGAGAUGGAUUCCUACAGUUCGGCUGGACCGGUGACAGGUGCUGCAUGGCUGUCGUCAGCUCGUGUCGUGAGAUGUUGGGUUAAGUCCCGCAACGAGCGCAACCCUCGCCCCUAGUUGCCAUCAUUAAGUUGGGCACUCUAGGGGGACUGCCGGUGAUAAGCCGAGAGGAAGGUGGGGAUGACGUCAAGUCCUCAUGGCCCUUACGGGCUGGGCUACACACGUGCUACAAUGGUGGUGACAGUGGGCAGCGAGACCGCGAGGUCGAGCUAAUCUCCAAAAGCCAUCUCAGUUCGGAUUGUUCUCUGCAACUCGAGAGCAUGAAGUUGGAAUCGCUAGUAAUCGCGGAUCAGCAUGCCGCGGUGAAUACGUUCCC